GCCGAGGUAGCUCAGUUGGUAGAGCAUCUCACUCGUAACGAGAAGGUCGGGAGUUCGAUCCUCCCCCUCGGCUCCA
rnacentral:tRNA from 1 species